rnacentral:rRNA from 1 species
UACGUAGGGGGCGAGCGUUAAUCGGAAUUACUGGGCGUAAAGCGUGCGCAGGCGGUCCGCUAAGACAGAUGUGAAAUCCCCGGGCUUAACCUGGGAACUGCAUUUGUGACUGGCGGGCUAGAGUAUGGCAGAGGGGGGUAGAAUUCCACGUGUAGCAGUGAAAUGCGUAGAGAUGUGGAGGAAUACCGAUGGCGAAGGCAGCCCCCUGGGCCAAUACUGACGCUCAUGCACGAAAGCGUGGGGAGCAAACAGG